GAUGACUUUAAAGGAAACUUAGAACUGCUUGCCAAAAUAUUUCCCACUGUGGAUGAAAGAGCACUGCUCCAGAAAUGGACUAGUUUCAAGGUCCAUGUUGGCCAGGGCUUGUUAAGAUUAGUCACAGUUGGAGGUGAUGCAGGAACUGGCCUCUGACUUUGAUGAAACGAAGCUCCUCUACCCAAAUCUGGCUCUACUCUCUGACAUUGCAUUAACAGAUCCAGUGUCAAAUGUCAACUGUGAAAGAGACUUCUCGGCCAUGAACAGGAUAAAGACAGACUUCAGAAACAGGCUGCAGGGGAAAAGCCUCAAUGCAUGUCUGCGCAUCAAAAUAAAUGGACCUUCUGUGGCUGAAAUGGACUACCAAAAG